GACGAACGCUGGCGGCGUGCUUAACACAUGCAAGUCGAACGGAAAGGCCCUGCUUUUGUGGGGUGCUCGAGUGGCGAACGGGUGAGUAACACGUGAGUAACCUGCCCUUGACUUUGGGAUAACUUCAGGAAACUGGGGCUAAUACCGGAUAGGAGCUCCUGCUGCAUGGUGGGGGUUGGAAAGUUUCGGCGGUUGGGGAUGGACUCGCGGCUUAUCAGCUUGUUGGUGGGGUAGUGGCUUACCAAGGCUUUGACGGGUAGCCGGCCUGAGAGGGUGACCGGCCACAUUGGGACUGAGAUACGGCCCAGAAGCCUACGGGAGGCAGCAGGGGGGAAUAUUGCACAAUGGGCGGAAGCCUGAUGCAGCAACGCCGCGUGCGGGAUGACGGCCUUCGGGUUGUAAACCGCUUUCGCCUGUGACGAAGCGUGAGUGACGGUAAUGGGUAAAGAAGCACCGGCUAACUACGUG
rnacentral:rRNA from 1 species